rnacentral:rRNA from 1 species
UACGAAGGGGGCUAGCGUUGCUCGGAAUUACUGGGCGUAAAGCGUGCGCAGGCGGUUAUGUAAGACAGUUGUGAAAUCCCCGGGCUCAACCUGGGAACUGCAUCUGUGACUGCAUAGCUAGAGUACGGUAGAGGGGGAUGGAAUUCCGCGUGUAGCAGUGAAAUGCGUAGAUAUGCGGAGGAACACCGAUGGCGAAGGUAAUCCCCUGGACCUGUACUGACGCUCAUGCACGAAAGCGUGGGGAGCAAACAGG